rnacentral:rRNA from 1 species
AGAACGCUGGCGGCGUGCCUAAUACAUGCAAGUCGAGCGAACAGACGAGGAGCUUGCUCCUCUGACGUUAGCGGCGGACGGGUGAGUAACACGUGGAUAACCUACCUAUAAGACUGGGAUAACUUCGGGAAACCGGAGCUAAUACCGGAUAAUAUAUUGAACCGCAUGGUUCAAUAGUGAAAGACGGUUUUGCUGUCACUUAUAGAUGGAUCCGCGCCGCAUUAGCUAGUUGGUAAGGUAACGGCUUACCAAGGCAACGAUGCGUAGCCGACCUGAGAGGGUGAUCGGCCACACUGGAACUGAGACACGGUCCAGACUCCUACGGGAGGCAGCAGUAGGGAAUCUUCCGCAAUGGGCGAAAGCUUGACGGAGCAACGCCGCGUGAGUGAUGAAGGUCUUCGGAUCGUAAAACUCUGUUAUUAGGGAAGAACAAAUGUGUAAGUAACUAUGCACGUCUUGACGGUACCUAAUCAGAAAGCCACGGCUAACUACGUGCCAGCAGCCGCGGUAAUACGUAGGUGGCAA